UAACCUGCCCAAGAGAUCGGGAUAACACCUGGAAACAGAUGCUAAUACCGGAUAACAACAGAUGAUGCCUAUCAACUGUUUAAAAGAUGGUUCUGCUAUCACUCUUGGAUGGACCUGCGGUGCAUUAGCUAGUUGGUAGGGUAACGGCCUACCAAGGCGAUGAGGCAUAGCCGAGUUGAGAGACUGAUCGGCCACAUUGGGACUGAGACACGGCCCAAACUCCUACGGGAGGCAGCAGCU
rnacentral:rRNA from 1 species